CACCAUUGAUCGAUCUUCCAGACUUCUCUGCAGGAAUUUCAAACAGGUUUCGAACAGGUUCUAACAACAAUUAAAUAAAACCACUAGAGUAGCAGCUGCGAAGUAUAAGAAAGAAGAAGGUUUGACUGCAACAUAUAGUCCAACACUCUAAGUCAAACAGACAUGUAAAAGUACAACUUGAAAAACACUGUAAAGUUUCUCAUCUUUUAAUAAUGGACCUAAUAAGUAAGAUUAUCACAAAAAAUGCAAAAUGUACCACUGACAUAACUACGGCUAUAGAUAUACAAGUUUGCAUAUGUGGAUAAGUAGCCUAGAAGCCAAUUAAUAAUUUAGUUCAAACGACAUACACAUCAACACACACAAAAGUUAUCAUUGAAGUGUUAUGUAUGAGAAAAUGCUUU